rnacentral:rRNA from 1 species
UGAGGAAUAUUGGUCAAUGGGCGGAAGCCUGAACCAGCCAAGUAGCGUGAGGGAAGACUGCCCUAUGGGUUGUAAACCUCUUUUAUAAGGGAAUAAAAUACGGGACGUGUCCUGUUUUGCAUGUACCUUAUGAAUAAGCACCGGCUAAAUACGUGCCAGCAGCCGCGGUAAUACGUAUGGUGCAAGCGUUAUCCGGAUUUACUGGGUGUAAAGGGAGCGCAGGCGGUGCGGCAAGUCUGAUGUGAAAGCCCGGGGCUCAACCCCGGUACUGCAUUGGAAACUGUCGUACUAGAGUGUCGGAGGGGUAAGUGGAAUUCCUAGUGUAGCGGUGAAAUGCGUAGAUAUUAGGAGGAACACCAGUGGCGAAGGCGGCUUACUGGACGAUCACUGACGCUGAGGCUCGAAAGCGUGGGGAGCAAACAGGAUUAGAUACCCUGGUAGUCCCUGAGACUACCAAGGGCACACAGGGGGAUA